GGCCUUCGGAGCGCAGCACAAGUUCCCGCUGCGUUCUGGAGGCUUCAGGUUUCUUUCGCUGAAGCCAGGAGAGUCUUGCUCUCCCGGCUUCAGCAAAAGGAACCCGAAGCCUGAGGAGCGCAGCGGGAACUUGCGCUGCGCUCCGAAGGC